UACGUAGGGGCCAAGCGUUGUCCGGAUUUAUUGGGCGUAAAGAGCUCGUAGGCGGUUCGGCAAGUCAGCUGUGAAAUCUCCACGCUCAACGUGGAGGGGUCAGCUGAUACUGCUGUGACUCGAGUCCGGUAGGGGAGUGUGGAAUUCCCGGUGUAGAGGUGAAAUGCGCAGAUAUCGGGAGGAACACCAGUAGCGAAGGCGGCACUCUGGGCCGGUACUGACGCUGAGGAGCGAAAGCGUGGGGAGCGAACAGG
rnacentral:rRNA from 1 species